rnacentral:rRNA from 1 species
CAGCAGCCGCGGUAAACGUAGGAGGCAAGCGUUAUCCGGAUUUACUGGGCGUAAAGCGUGUGUAGGCGGCUUGGUAAGUCGGACGUGAAAACUCCUGGCUCAACUAGGAGAGGCCGUUCGAAACUUCCAAACUUGAGGGCAGUAGAGGGAAGUGGAAUUCCCGGU